UACAGAGGGGGCAAGCGUUGUUCGGAAUUACUGGGCGUAAAGGGCGCGUAGGCGGCCUUCUAAGUCGAACGUGAAAUCCCUGGGCUCAACCCAGGAACUGCGUCUGAUACUGGGUGGCUUGAAUCCGGGAGAGGGAUGCGGAAUUCCAGGUGUAGCGGUGAAAUGCGUAGAUAUCUGGAGGAACACCGGUGGCGAAGGCGGCAUCCUGGACCGGUAUUGACGCUGAGGCGCGAAAGCCAGGGGAGCAAACGGG
rnacentral:rRNA from 1 species